rnacentral:rRNA from 1 species
UACGUAGGGGGGCUAGCGUUGUCCGGAUUUACUGGGCGUAAAGAGCGCGCAGGCGGUCGAAUAAGUCGAAUGUGAAAGCCCCCGGCUCAACUGGGGAGGGUCAUUCGAUACUGUUCGACUUGAAGGCAGGAGAGGGUAGUGGAAUUCCCCGGUGUAGUGGUGAAAUGCGUAGAUAUCGGGAGGAACACCAGUGGCGAAGGCGACUACCUGGCCUGUUCUUGACGCUGAGGCGCGAAAGCUAGGGGAGCAAACGGG